rnacentral:lncRNA from 1 species
AAACACAUCUAGACUUAGAUUUAGAAUAAUGUGUUAAAAAGGGACAAAUAUUAACUGCGGGACAAUACCUUGUGUAUACUAUAAAUAUAGAUAUAAAAGAAGAUGUGGUAUGAAUGCCAAUGAGACAACUCUCCACAAGCGAACAAAACGACACAGAAAUUAACAACUAUAGGUCACCGUACGGCAAACCCCAUACUGCAUAGUCAGCUAUAAAAAGCCCUAAAAUGACAAUGUAAAACAAUUGUAGCGAGAAAACUUACGGCCUCAUUUUUUUUUAAAGGAAAUAAAACAAAUAUGUAACACAUAAACAAACGACAACCACUGAAAUACAUGGUCUUAACUUAGGACAGGCACAUACAUACAUAAUGUGGCGGGGUUAAACAUGUUAUAGCGGGAUCUCAAUCCUCCCCUAAGCUGGGACAUUGGAAUAACAGUACAACCUAAGAACGAAUUAAAAAAAAACAGUUGAAAAAGGCAACUCACCAGAAGUACACAAAUACAAGUGGACGUGUAUAUCAAUUUCAUAUCAAAAGCACACACGGCGUGUCAAUCUAGUACAUAGGAGGGUUCAUAUUCGUGCAACAUUUUCAUGUACUCGUCUUGAAUAUGCAUGUAGUUAGACAAUGGGC